rnacentral:rRNA from 1 species
GAUUAACGCUAGCGGCAGGCAUAAUACAUGCAAGUUGAACGGCAGCACAGGUAGCAAUACUGGGUGGCGAGUGGCGCACGGGUGCGUAACACGUAUGCAACCUACCCUAUACAGGCGAAUAACCUUUAGAAAUGAGGGCUAAUACGCCGUAGUAUUACAGAUGGGCAUCUAUUUGUAAUUAAAGAUUUAUCGGUAUAGGAUGGGCAUGCGUCCCAUUAGUUAGUUGGUAAGGUAACGGCUUACCAAGACGAUGAUGGGUAGGGGAUCUGAGAGGACUUACCCCCACACUGGUACUGAGACACGGUCCAGACUCCUACGGGAGGCAGCAGUAAGGAAUAUUGGGCAAUGGCCGCGAGGCUGACCCAGCCAUGCCGCGUGCAGGAAGACGGCCUUAUGGGUUGUAAACUGCUUUUAUACGGGAAUAAUAGAGUGUACGCGUACAUUUAUGCAAGUAUCGUAUGAAUAAGCAUCGGCUAACUCCGUG